rnacentral:rRNA from 1 species
UACAGAGGGUGCGAGCGUUAAUCGGAAUUACUGGGCGUAAAGCGCACGUAGGCGGCUUGGUAUGUCGGGUGUGAAAUCCCCCGGGCUCAACCUGGGAACUGCAUCCGAAACUGCCUUGCUCGAGUAUGGGAGAGGGAAGUGGAAUUUCCGGUGUAGCGGUGAAAUGCGUAGAUAUCGGAAGGAACAUCAGUGGCGAAGGCGACUCACUGGACAACUGUUGACGCUGAGGUGCGAAAGCGUGGGGAGCAAACAGG